GACGAACGCUGGCGGCGUGCUUAACACAUGCAAGUCGAGCGGUAAGGCUCCUUCGGGGGUACACGAGCGGCGAACGGGUGAGUAACACGUGAGUAAUCUGCCCUCAGCUUUGGGAUAAGCACUCGAAAGGGUGUCUAAUACCGGAUAUGACUGCUCCCCGCAUGGGGUGGUGGUGGAAAGUUUUUCGGCUGGGGAUGUGCUCGCGGCCUAUCAGCUUGUUGGUGGGGUAAUGGCCUACCAAGGCUUUGACGGGUAGCCGGCCUGAGAGGGUGACCGGUCACACUGGGACUGAGACACGGCCCAGACUCCUACGGGAGGCAGCAGUGGGGAAUAUUGGACAAUGGGCGGAAGCCUGAUCCAGCAACGCCGCGUGAGGGAUGACUGCCUUCGGGUUGUAAACCUCUUUCAGUACCGACGAAGCUUUCGGGUGACGGUAGGUACAGAAGAAGCACCGGCCAACUACGUGCCAGCAGCCGCGGUAAAAC
rnacentral:rRNA from 1 species